AUCGCUUCUCGGCCUUUUGGCUAAGAUCAAGUGUAGAAAUAAGAAACGUGCACCAUAAUGAAACUAAAUUGCUGCUUUCUUUUUUAAAAAAUGUUUUUAUUAAUUUCA
rnacentral:snRNA from 1 species